UAAAACCUUAUCUUGUAAGCCCUACUAAAUC
rnacentral:piRNA from 1 species